GACGAACGCUGGCGGCGUGCCUAAUACAUGCAAGUAGAACGCUGAAGGAGGAGCUUGCUUCUCUGGAUGAGUUGCGAACGGGUGAGUAACGCGUAGGUAACCUGCCUGGUAGCGGGGGAUAACUAUUGGAAACGAUAGCUAAUACCGCAUAACAGUAGAUAUCGCAUGAUAUCUACUUGAAAGGUGCAAUUGCAUCACUACCAGAUGGACCUGCGUUGUAUUAGCUAGUUGGUGAGGUAACGGCUCACCAAGGCGACGAUACAUAGCCGACCUGAGAGGGUGAUCGGCCACACUGGGACUGAGACACGGCCCAGACUCCUACGGGAGGCAGCAGUAGGGAAUCUUCGGCAAUGGACGGAAGUCUGACCGAGCAACGCCGCGUGAGUGAAGAAGGUUUUCGGAUCGUAAAGCUCUGUUGUAAGAGAAGAACGAGUGUGAGAGUGGAAAGUUCACACUGUGACGGUAUCUUACCAGAAAGGGACGGCUAACUAUGUG
rnacentral:rRNA from 1 species